rnacentral:rRNA from 1 species
UACGUAGGGUGCGAGCGUUGUCCGGAAUUAUUGGGCGUAAAGAGCUCGUAGGCGGUGUGUCACGUCGUUCGUGAAAACCUGCAGCUUAACUGUGGGCGUGCGGUCGAUACGGGCAUCACUGGAGUUCGGCAGGGGAGACUGGAAUUCCUGGUGUAGCGGUGAAAUGCGCAGAUAUCAGGAGGAACACCGGUGGCGAAGGCGGGUCUCUGGGCCGAUACUGACGCUGAGGUGCGAAAGCUAGGGGAGCGAACAGG